AGAGUUUGAUCCUGGCUCAGGACGAACGCUGGCGGCGUGCUUAACACAUGCAAGUCGAGCGGGCACCAUCCGGUGGCAACACUGGUGAAGUGCUAGCGGCGAACGGGUGAGUAACACGUGAGCAACCUGCCCCCAAGUCUGGGAUAACCCCGGGAAACCGGAGCUAAUACCGGAUGCCCUCGGCGGACCGCAUGGUCUGU
rnacentral:rRNA from 1 species